rnacentral:rRNA from 1 species
AUUGAACGCUGGCGGCAUGCCUUACACAUGCAAGUCGAACGGCAGCACGGGAGCAAUCCUGGUGGCGAGUGGCGAACGGGUGAGUAAUAUAUCGGAACGUACCUUAUUGUGGGGGAUAACGCAGCGAAAGCUGUGCUAAUACCGCAUAAUCCCUAAGGGGGAAAGCGGGGGACCGUAAGGCCUCGCGCAAUUAGAGCGGCCGAUACCUGAUUAGCUAGUUGGUGAGGUAAAGGCUCACCAAGGCAACGAUCAGUAGCUGGUCUGAGAGGACGAUCAGCCACACUGGGACUGAGACACGGCCCAGACUCCUGCGGGAGGCAGCAGUGGGGAAUUUUGGACAAUGGGGGCAACCCUGAUCCAGCAAUGCCGCGUGAGUGAAGAAGGCCUUCGGGUUGUAAAGCUCUUUUGUCAGGGAAGAAACAGCAGCUCUAACACAGUUUGCGAAUGACGGUACCUGAAGAAUAAGCACCGGCUAACUACGCGCCAGCCGCCGCCGUAA